ACUCAGGGUGAGAGGGAGAUUCUGAAGCUUUGUGUUUCUUGCUAGCUAGUCAAAGGUGACUAAUUCAUGUGGAUAGAAAAAUAAUACAUGCCAAAAGAAAUUUGAGGAACAAAUUCAGCCCUGAGACAGGUCACGGAAACAGCCCUCCAGUCUUCCUCAAGAAAUGUAGACUGAAUCAGCAUUUACCCACCCCUGGAAAAACGCAGGAGCUGCGCAUUCCUGGGAUCUCAGCAGGGCUUUUGGGAAGAGCAGAACUGGGCUGGAGUCACGGUUUCUGGGCUGACUCUAGAUUUUCCCCGGCUUUUGCCACCUGUGAUGGCUGGAGAGUAUCUGAAGAUGACAGAAUGCAACAGAAGAGAGUGCACGGCUUCUGAGGUUGCAGCUUUUGGGAGAAGCCAUCUACCAUUGAUGACAGACAUGCCGUGUGGAAACCAAACCAGCCAUGUGGAGAGGCUACCUGGACAGAGGCACAGGGCCAGCAGCAGCUGUGGAGACAGACAUGUGAGCAAAGAAAUCAUCUUUGAUGUACAGCCAAGUUGAGCCUUCAGAUGACUCCGAUUUCAGCCACCUUUGGACUGCAACCACAUGAAAGACUCUAAAUAGAAGCCUCCCAGCUGAUCCCGGUUAACCCACAGUGCUGAAGGGGAUAAUAAUAAAUUGUUGUUUUAA
rnacentral:lncRNA from 1 species